CGAGUCCGUCCGGGUCGCCGCGGCGGAAGCGGCGGCGCUUCCCGGCAGCUCUUCCCGGCAGCUCUUCCCGGCAGCGCCAGCCCUUCCGGCGGCGGCGGGGGUGAGUGCGGGUGCGGGUGCGGGUGCGGGUGCGGGCCGGGGGGCGCAGCGGGCGGGGGGUGCUUCUCCGUCCGCCGGGAAGCACAGGCGCGGCCCCGGGCCGGGCGGUGCCGCCGCGGCGCCCUCACGGCCUGUACGGCCCGAAGGGUUUGGCCUGUGAUCGAGGAGCAGCCCUAAACGUGGGCAUGUAGUCAGUCAGUAGUCCUAAAUGCAGCUUCCGUGCCAAAAAAAACCCCAAAAAACAAAAAAGCAACAGCUUUACUGACUUCAGGUUUAUAGAAAGUUGCACAUAUCCAGGGUUUUGGCCUCAAAUUCCUAAUUUAUGAGGUGGAGAGCCUGAAACCGGGCUUCACUGUAGCAUGUAAUGCGCUUUGUGAGAAAUGGCGAUGGUACUGAUCGUGCAGAGAUUCUCUGAUUUGCUCUGYCUCUGCACCAGUCUCCUCUCCCUCCUCCCCCGCCCAAGACUUUUGGAAAGUCGUUGAAUGUACUUUUGUCUCGUGCUAGGUAUGGAUAACAGAAAGGAGGAAAGAAGUAGGUCGCUGUGUGCAACAUCACAAGAAGAGCUGAAAGUCCAAGGAAAAGAAAAAAGAAAACGAAAACGUAGCAGAAGCAGAUCAUCAUCAAUUUCAUCCACAUCAUCUUCUAGUACUGCCACUACAUCCGCUUCUUCCUCCUCAUCACGCUCGUCAUCAAGGUCUUCUUCCAGUAGCAGAGGUAAGCUGCCACUAGUGUACUUCAGUGUGUACAAAUGGUGGUUACCCGUGUUGAUAGCAUUCCUGAAAACAUUUACUGCUUACUUUAAAAGUGGCUAA
rnacentral:lncRNA from 1 species